ensembl:lncRNA
AUUUUGAUGUCCAUUAGAAGCAGAGGCAAUAUUUUUAGUUUUAACAAGAAGACUUCACUUCCCACUGAGGGACUGAAUUUCUAGUGUAAGAUGUGCAGCCCUGGUAAGGAGGCUGUGGAUGUUAAUUUGGCAGCUUUACAGUCUCUUUUCUUCAGGGUUUCAUGCUGCUCCUGCUUGCAGAGAUGCCAAUCUUGCCAUGUUGCCUCCAUACUUUCUACUUUCCAGUACCUCAGGGUAUUUGACAACUUCCAAAUUGUUUAGCUGUACCUUCAGAAGGGGAAAGUUUGAAACUAAGGGCAUUGUAGUCCUGCCUGACUCUGGCAAGUAGGCACAGGUCCUGAUGGAUAUCAGACAACACUUAUGUAGAGCCACCAUAAGAGACGUAAACAUCUGUCCUGUUUUCCAAUGGCAAGCAAAUUCUAUUCAGAUUCAAAUUCUCUGUACUGGAUUUUAACUUGAAGGCCAAGGCUUUCUUAAAGGAACAAAACAACUUGAAAGGAAUCCUGAGAAUUUAGAUUCUGACUGCAAUUUCACCGUACCACAGAAUCACGGGAUGGGAAAAACUCAUUUCAGAGGACUCUACCAGCUGCCAGAUAAUGAAAUCCAAAUAUCAAAGAAGUUACAGUUUCUUUGCUCCUCCAAGUCAGGUGGGACCAGCCAUUGUACCUUUCUUCUCCAAACGGGUUCAGAAGGGGCUCUGCAUGUGACGAGCUCCAGGACUGAGAAGAUGAAGUUGCCCCUCCUGAGCUUUUUGUGCUUCCUGCAGCUGGCAGCCUGACAGAGAAGAGAGUGGAGAAGGAAGCCUGGAUCCAACACAGAAUGGGGGGAAUGGCAAGUGGGAGUGAGAUGCAGAGUAACAGCCAAGUAAGGGGUGGGACAGAAGAGCAGGUGAAGGCCUGGAAGAAGGAGGAUGAACAGAAAUAGAAAGACAGCUGGAGAAUAAGCCAGAAAUUAGAAGCCCUACAAAAGAUGGUAGAGAGGGUGCAGGAGAGGAAGGAGGAGGCUGAAGAGAAAGGGUUAUAAUUUACCCCCAGGGAAAUUAUGUCCUCUAUAAUUCAAAGCUGCAGCCAAAUUUUGGCAUCCUUUUGCUUCAGGGAAACUGCUGUGAGGAGUGAAGGUACCUGAAUAUACAUGUCCGUGUAAAUUUUCCUUCUUCAUUGUAGUACUGUGUGUAUGUGGAUGCACCUACUGCCUCUAAAGGGAUCUGGAUACUGGGCUCCAUAUGUUCCUUGCCCUUCAAGCACUUGACACUAUAACCCUAAAAUUAAACCUCUUUGAGUACCAAAAGAAAGAGUCCUUGGCUUCCUAUCGAGAAAGACAACAAGGUGUGUCUUUAUUGCAAGCACAAAUGGGACACUAAACAGGUAGACCACAAAUAAAAAUAGAUGUUCAGUACUGUAGAAGGAAGAGAAUGGAGUUGGAACCCUAAUUAACUCCUUCCUUAAGUAUCAGACAGCAAUCAGCACAAAUUAUGGAUUAGGAGCUUUUGGCUCUUGAAAACAUGGAGUCUUUGCUUCCCUGCCUCCUCCUCUCGUCACAGCUGCUGUGAGAAUCCAGCUGAGACCAAGAAUGUUGGGUUUUUUAUAGCACUUGUAAAAAUCAAGUCCACAAUCAAGUAGACAAAGAAAACCAUCAUGAAAGGAAGCAAACAUCCGGCCUCGGUGUGUUUGUGGAGUGCUGGCUGGAAUGGAGCCUCUUCAGCACAGCUGAGAGCCUGCUCAGCAGUCUAAGCUGGCAGCCUUCAACUAGCCCCUAAUGAGCCUCAUCAAACAAACAAACAGAGAAAGAGGCUUCACAGAUUAGUACCAAAGACAAAUGCUGGAUGAUUCUUAUGGUUUUGUGCAGUGCCUACAUCCUUCUUGCCUCUGGAGGUGGGGGGAAUCUGUCCUAACAUCACCUCUCCGAUGCGGGGCAGCUGCUCCAAAUGGGAUAUUCACCCUUCUGGGGCCUGUAAUGCAGAACUGCUGCAUCUGGGGAUGAGCCUCUUGGCUCUUUGGAUAAGAUAAAUCACAGCUUGAGGUGCCUCCACCUCCAGAUGGUAAUGACUUGUCCAAAUUCGUACAGUUGCUGUCUCCUGCUUAUGAGACAGCUUCCCGUUCAGGGGGCCAUUGCCCACCAAGUUGGGCUUCAAGGACACUAUCCCACUUUCUUGUGUUUCCCUGACUUAUUGACGAGCAGCAUUGUUCUGCCUGUCUGCAGGAGGUGUUCUUCUUUCUCCUAAUACAGCAUUCAAGUCAGAAAUAAAAUGUUACCAUUUCACAACACAACUGGGGGUAUCUAUUUCUUACUGAGCACAGGACCGUAUUCCUCAGUAAAAUUUGCAUGUGAUAUAAAAAUAUGGAAGGAACAGUAUAUGCUUCCUUAUGCUAAAGUUUCCUUCCUGUGGCAGGAACUGCAGAAACUGCUUAUUAAACUCCCCCUUUCCCCCCCAAAGAGCUCUAGUUUGUAAUAAGAAUAGAGACUAGAGAAUAAUUCUUACAUAAAGCCAAACUGCACAAUUCCGCCUAAUUAUUUGUCCUUGAAAGGAGACUUUGUAAUCUAUCUUCUGUUGCAUUUUUUUUUCCUAACUGUGAAUCUUUGCACAACUGUCCUCAUGACAAAUAUAAUUUGAUCUGGGGACAGCCCUGUCUGGAGUGUUUGCAUCAAGAGCCUUUUCCAAUAAGCUGCAGCUCCCACCUUAAUGAGAAUAAGAGCCUUAUGACAAAUACAGGGCUUUCAAUAGCAAAUACAGCUUCUGUACAGCACACUCAGGUCUCUCCUCACUGAGGAAUAAACUGAC